rnacentral:rRNA from 1 species
GGUUCGAAAUUGAAAGGCGGCUUCGGCUGUCACUUAUGGAUGGACCCGCGUCGCAUUAGCUAGUUGGUGAGGUAACGGCUCACCAAGGCAACGAUGCGUAGCCGACCUGAGAGGGUGAUCGGCCACACUGGGACUGAGACACGGCCCAGACUCCUACGGGAGGCAGCAGUAGGGAAUCUUCCGCAAUGGACGAAAGUCUGACGGAGCAACGCCGCGUGAGUGAUGAAGGCUUUCGGGUCGUAAAACUCUGUUGUUAGGGAAGAACAAGUGCUAGUUGAAUAAGCUGGCACCUUGACGGUACCUAACCAGAAAGCCACGGCUAACUACGUGCCAGCAGCCGCGGUAAUACGUAGGUGGCAAGCGUUAUCCGGAAUUAUUGGGCGUAAAGCGCGCGCAGGUGGUUUCUUAAGUCUGAUGUGAAAGCCCACGGCUCAACCGUGGAGGGUCAUUGGAAACUGGGAGACUUGAGUGCAGAAGAGGAAAGUGGAAUUCCAUGUGUAGCGGUGAAAUGCGUAGAGAUAUGGAGGAACACCAGUGGCGAA